GAUUGCUUUGAUAAAUAUACACUAAAAUUGGAACUGUACAGAGAAGAGUAGCAUGACCCAUAACCUCUAGACACUGACAUGCAAAUUUGUGAAGCACUGCAUAUCUUU
rfam:Cavia porcellus supercont2_29 genomic scaffold, whole genome shotgun sequence.